rnacentral:rRNA from 1 species
ACGAACGCUGGCGGCGUGCUUCACACAUGCAAGUCGAACGGAAAGGCCCUGCUUUUGUGGGGUGCUCGAGUGGCGAACGGGUGAGUAACACGUGAGUAACCUGCCCUUGACUUUGGGAUAACUUCAGGAAACUGGGGCUAAUACCGGAUAGGAGCUCCUGCUGCAUGGUGGGGGUUGGAAAGUUUCGGCGGUUGGGGAUGGACUCGCGGCUUAUCAGCUUGUUGGUGGGGUAGUGGCUUACCAAGGCUUUGACGGGUAGCCGGCCUGAGAGGGUGACCGGCCACAUUGGGACUGAGAUACGGCCCAGACUCCUACGGGAGGCAGCAGUGGGGAAUAUUGCACAAUGGGCGGAAGCCUGAUGCAGCAACGCCGCGUGCGGGAUGACGGCCUUCGGGUUGUAAACCGCUUUCGCCGGUGACGAAGCGUGAGUGACGGUAAUGGGUAAAGAAGCACCGGCUAACUACGUG